UAUCUCUGUAGAGUCUGCAUAUCAAUAAGCGGAGGAAAAGAAACUAACUAGGAUUCCCUUAGUAACGGCGAGUGAAGCGGGAAGAGCUCAAAUUUGAAAUCUUCAAGGUUUUACCUUGACGAAUUGUAGUUUAAAGAAGUGUUUUCUGUUGAAGUUUUGGUAAAAGUUCUUUGGAAUAGGACAUCAUAGAGGGUGAGAAUCCCGUAUUUGACCAUUACUUUCAGCUGUGUGAUACACUUUCAAAGAGUCGGAUUGUUUGGGAAUGCAGUCCAAAAUGGGUGGUAAAUUUCAUCUAAAGCUAAAUAUUGGCGAGAGACCGAUAGCGAACAAGUACCGUGAGGGAAAGAUGAAAAGAACUUUGAAAAGAGAGUUAAACAGUACGUGAAAUUGUCAAAAGGGAAGCGUUUGACACCAGUGUUGUUUUCUCGAAAAUCAAUUAAAAAAAGGUUAGGAUUUUGUGUUGUAUUGACUCUUAUCAGCUUUCUGCACUCUUUUCCUGUCUUUUUUUUAAUGCACUUUUCGUUUAACAAGUCAACAUCAAUUUCUUUUGUUGUAAAAGAGGUCAUUCGGAAGGUGGCUUUCUUUUCGGAGAAAGUGUUUAUAGCCUUUGAUCUCUGCAAUCGGAGAGAUUGAGGUCUGCAGCGUAGAUCCUUCGGGGUUAGAUACAUUUGUGCUAAGUUAUAGCCUUUCAUAGACAACUUGUUGACUAUGAUCAGUCAUGUAGCUUACUCGCUUAUGCUAUUUUACCUACGCUUAGGAUGUUGAUAGUCACAGCGUGUAC
rnacentral:rRNA from 1 species